GGAGGAGGAUGAGGAGGAGGAUGAUAGCAGCCAGCAACCAGCUGCAGUGGAAGAUGAUUGCAAUCACAAAAUUAUCUAAUCCCUGGCUACAACAUGAUCUUCAUCAAAGAGGAUGCAUAUGACGAUCAAGAGGCUGAAGGAAGUGCAGUGAAGAGUGAACCAGAAAUGUGGCCUUCAAACUGCAGAACAUCUGGCCGAGACUAUGCAACAGAAGUGGUGGACUGAAUGAGCAUUCAAUCUCUCCAGUGGAAAAGUGCACUGAGUCAUCUGUGGCUGGUGAACAGACCAAGCUCCACAGCUGUGCUCACUGUAGCUAUAAAACACAAAAUUUUAGUAAUUUGAAAAAACACAUCAGAAAACAUACUGGAGGAAAACCAUUCAGCUGCGAGUUUUGUGACUUCAAAAGUGCUCAGCUAAGUACUUUGAAAACACAUAUCAGAACACAUACUGGAGAAAAACCUUUCAGCUGCGAGUUUUGUGAAUACAAAAGUGCUGAGUUAGGUAGUUUGAAAAAACAUAUCAAAACACAUACUGGAGAAAAACCAUUCAGCUGCAAGUUUUGUGACUUCAAAAGUGCUCAGCUAAGUAAUUUGAAAGCACAUAUCAGAACACAUACUGGAGAAAAACCAUUCAGCUGCGAGUUUUGUGACUUCAAAAGUGCUCAGCUAAGUACUUUGAAAGCACAUAUCAGAACACAUACUGGAGAAAAACCUUCAGCUGCAAGUUUUGUGACUUCAAAAGUGCUCAGCUAAGUAAUUUGAAAGCACAUAUCAGACACAUACUGCAGAAAAACUUUCAGCUGCGAGUUUUGUGAUUACAAAAGUGCUGAGUUAGGUAGUUUGAAAAAACAUAUCAAAGCACAUACUGGAGAAAACCCAUUCAGCUGCGAGUUUUGUGACUUCAAAAGUGCUCAGCUAAGUAAUUUGAAAGCACAUAUCAGACACAUACUGGAGAAAAACCUUUCAGCUGCGAGUUUUGUGAUUACAAAAGUGCUGAGUUAGGUAGUUUGAAAACACAUAUCAAAACACAUACUGGAGAAAAACCAUUCAGCUGCAAGUUUUGUGACUUCAAAAGUGCUCAGCUAAGUAAUUUGAAAGCACAUA